rnacentral:rRNA from 1 species
AGGGUUUGAUCAUGGCUCAGGAUGAACGCUAGCUACAGGCUUAACACAUGCAAGUCGAGGGGCAGCAUGGUCUUAGCUUGCUAAGGCCGAUGGCGACCGGCGCACGGGUGAGUAACGCGUAUCCAACCUGCCUUACACUCUUGGACAGCCUUCUGAAAGGGAGAUUAAUACAAGAUGUUAUCAUGAGUAAGCAUUUUCGCAUGAUUAAAGGUUUACCGGUGUAAGAUGGGGAUGCGUUCCAUUAGAUAGUAGGCGGGGUAACGGCCCACCUGGCCGACGAUCGGUAGGGGUCCUGAGAGGGAGGCCCCCCACACUGGGACUGAGACACGGCCCAG